CUCUUUAUUCAAAAGUUGGAUAAAAUUUUUACAUCUCUAUUGUAGAGAUUUGGUGCAUGGAUUUUAAGAAGAAAAGAGAAAAAAAGAUUCUUCUCAUGAUCUUUAGCAUAGAGAUCAAGAUCCUUUUACAUUUUUUUGUUCUCUAAAAGUGUCUUAGAAGAAAAAAAAAAUUCAACUGUCAAGAUGCAAUCUUUGCAAGGGAGCUAGCACCCCAAUGAAAUCAAAAACUUCUGAUCAGAUCAGAGUCUCAUAUGGAUACCUGUGG
rnacentral:lncRNA from 1 species